CUCUCUCUCACUAAAAAAUAUACAGAAAUAUCACUCUCAAAGGCUCAGUCCCACCUCUCUCUCUCUCUCUCUCUCUCUCUCACUCUCACUCUCUCUCUCUCUCAAUGGCACCUACAGUUACUUCAAUGGAGGCAUCUAAUGGCCAUGAAGUACCAAAAGUGGCAAGCAUCAAAAUACUAGCUGACUCAGCUUCCCUCACUUUUGUACCUUCUGAGUACACCUAUACCAAAAAUCCUAAUGAACAAGGCGAUGCAAACGACCCAGAGCACUCAAUCCCCAUCAUUGAUUUUGCCCUUCUCACGUCGGGAUCUCCUGAUCAACGAGCAAAAGUGAUCCAAGAGCUGCGCAGAGCUUGCGAGGAAUGGGGCUUCUUCCAGGUGACCAACCACGGUGUACCAGAGAGCCUGAUGCAAUCAAUGAUAGACGCGUGUCAUAGAUUCUUUGAUCUGCCGGAGGAGGAGAAGAAGGAGUUCCAAACAAGGAACCUGUUGGAUCCAAUCAAGUGCGGCACCAGCUUCAACGCCAACAUUGAAAAAGUUCAUCUCUGGAGGGAUUUCCUCAAGGUCAUAGCCCACCCUGAGUUCAACUCACUCUACAAACCUGCUGGAUACAGCGAGGUUUCACUGGAGUUCAGCAAACGAACCCGAGAAGUAGCCACAGAAAUAUUGAAGGGAAUAUCAGAGAGCUUAGGGUUGGAGGCGGACUACAUAACAAAGGCCAUGAACUGGGACCGUGGCUUACAAAUUCUGGCCGGGAAUUACUACCCGGCGUGCCCACAGCCCGAUAAAGCAAUCGGUCUACCUCCUCAUACUGAUCAUGGACUGGUGACCCUCCUCAUUCAGAAUGAGAUGGGUGGCCUUGAAGUCAAGCACAAAGACCAAUGGGUGUUGGUGAAUGCUGCUCCGGGAGCUUUUAUUGUUAACAUUGGUGACCAAAUGCAGAUUUUGACAAACGACAAGUACAAGAGCAUAUGGCAUAGGGCUGUUGUGAACAACAAAGCUACAAGGAUAUCAAUAGCUGUGCCCCAUGGACCCUCACUGGACACACCAGCUUUACCAAUUCCAGAGUUGUUAGAGAGAGAAGGCCAAGCCCCAAAAUACAUUGGGAUGACAUACGAGAAAUUCAUGGAGCUUCAAGCAAGCCCUGCUGCCCUCACGAAACCUUGCUUACAUCACCUGCGGGUCAAGCAUAACUGAAGCUACAGCUUACACAUAUAUGCAUAUUCAUUAGAGUCCUCUUGUUUCCGUGAAUAAGAGCUUUGUUGCUCCUAUACAUUGUCUUGUUCCGAUUCUGAAUUCAUGAUAUUUCGCAGUGAGACAUUCUCGUCAAG